AUAGCCUUGUAAAAUGAGUAGGUCUAUAUGUUGUUUUUAAGUUAAAUUGUGCACAGUUUCACAGUUUACACUUGAUGUUUACCACUUCUAAUUCCUACUAUUAGCCGCUACUGCUGCUGUUACUUCCACACUUCAUCUUCUGUCACUCUUCUGGUUGUAAGGACAGUACAGCAGGAGAUGUGGAGUGAGUGUGGAGAGGGCGACCAUGAUGACCUACAUGCAACUGCUAUAACGACUGAGCCGCUUCUUUCCUUUAAACUGUCAGAUCAGACCAUGGACUGUGGACCCCAUCCGUGCCACCCAGGCCGAUGAUCCGGGUGGGCAGCAUGAUCUCCCACUACCCUCUGGCCACUCUGCUGCCCUGGGCUAUGGGACCCCAGACCCAUCACCACUGCCCCGACCUGGACUGCCCCCUGCUGCUGGUGGGUGAAGGGGGGGUGGCCCUACAGCGGUACCAGGCCCGGUCUCCGGAGAGCAGCC